rnacentral:lncRNA from 1 species
AGGAGUCAGACUGUAGGACGACCUCGGGUCCCACGUGUCCCCGGUACUCGCCGGCCGGAGCCCCCGGCUUCCCGGGGCCGGGGGACCUUAGCGGCACCCACACACAGCCUACUUUCCAAGCGGAGCCAUGUCUGGUAACGGCAAUGCGGCUGCAACGGCGGUGAGUGCUGAGCCGGUGACCAGCACACUUUGGGCUUCUGGACGAGCCGUGCAGCGAUUGGCCCCAGGUUGCCAUCCUCAGUCGUCUAUUGGAAGAAAACAGCCCAAAGAUGAGAGUGAUUCGCGUGGGUACCCGCAAGAGCCAGCUUGCUCGCAUACAGACGGACAGUGUGGUGGCAACAUUGAAAGCCUCGUACCCUGGCCUGCAGUUUGAAAUCAGUGAGUUUUCUGGAAAGGAGUGGAAGCUAAUGGGAAGCCCAGUACCCCGAGAGGAGAGAACACAACAUUUCUGGCUUUGCCUAUAGCUAAAGCCCGUCCCGCUGCCCCGAGAUUCCUUCUGGGCUGCUCCCAGUUCUGAAGAUUGGAGAGAAAAGCCUGUUUACCAAGGAGCUUGAACAUGCCCUGGAGAAGAAUGAAGUGGACCUGGUUGUUCACUCCUUGAAGGACCUGCCCACUGUGCUUCCUCCUGGCUUCACCAUCGGAGCCAUCUGCAAGCGGGAAAACCCUCAUGAUGCUGUUGUCUUUCACCCAAAAUUUGUUGGGAAGACCCUAGAAACCCUGCCAGAGAAGAGUGUGGUGGGAACCAGCUCCCUGCGAAGAGCAGCCCAGCUGCAGAGAAAGUUCCCGCAUCUGGAGUUCAGGAGUAUUCGGGGAAACCUCAACACCCGGCUUCGGAAGCUGGACGAGCAGCAGGAGUUCAGUGCCAUCAUCCUGGCAACAGCUGGCCUGCAGCGCAUGGGCUGGCACAACCGGGUGGGGCAGGUAGGGCCUGCCCCU